rnacentral:rRNA from 1 species
UACAGAGGAGCCAAGCGUUGUCCGGAUUGACUGGGCGUAAAGCGCACGCAGGCGGCAUCGCGCGUGGGGUGUGAAAUCUGGCCGCUUAACGGCCAGGCGCCAUCCCAUACGGCGAGGCUGGAGCGAUGCAGAGGUCGGUGGAAUUGCCGGUGUAGUGGUGAAAUGUGUAGAGAUCGGGAGGAACACCGGUGGCGAAGGCGGGUCUCUGGGCAAUUCCUGACGCUGAGGCGCGAAAGCGUGGGGAGCAAACGGG